rnacentral:lncRNA from 1 species
GCAAAACGUUCAUCCAAAAGCGUCCACUCAGUUUAAUUUAAAACGCAAGAUAUCUGUGGUAUGUUUUCAUCAUAAAAGAAGAAAUGCUGAAGAGAAACAAGAUAAUUACAAAGUGGUUGAUAAGCCUUUGAACCGGAACCACGAAGGGCAGUCCUAGGUGAACCGCGCCACGAGGGCACAGAAGCUAAGUCGUCCCGCCCUGCUUCUCUGCUCCUUUCAACACCUUCCCCCCUUUGCCAGUUUCCGAGAGGAACCUUUUUCAUGUUGCGGUGCAGUUGAAACCCGGGACCAAUUUCGUCAGCACAAUCCGGAACAGUCAACAUGGCGGCGGCCG